GACGAACCGUGCGAACGUUGUUCGGAAUCACUGGGUUUAAAGGGUGCGUAGGCGGGCUGCCAAGUUUGGGGUGAAAUCCUCCGGCUCAACCGGGGAAGUGCCUUGAAUACUGGCGGUCUGGAGGGAGGUAGGGGCGUGCGGAACUGUAGGUGGAGCGGUGAAAUGCGUUGAUAUCUACAGGAACUCCGGUGGCGAAGGCGGCACGCUGGACCUUUUCUGACGCUGAGGCGCGAAAGCCAGGGGAGCGAACGGG
rnacentral:rRNA from 1 species